rfam:Oryza brachyantha chromosome 9, whole genome shotgun sequence.
AAAAAAGCAGGAUGUUGUUCUGUUUGUAAGCAUUAUCCUCGUAAACUUUAGGAAUAUCAUAGUCAUUGUUAUUGGGUGAACCGGUGGGCACAUCUUGAUGCUGAUUGGUUCAGUAAACGGUGAAACAUUU